rnacentral:rRNA from 1 species
CCUACGGGUGGCAGCAGUGAGGAAUAUUGGUCAAUGGCCGAGAGGCUGAACCAGCCAAGUCGCGUGAGGGAUGACGGCCCUACGGGUUGUAAACCUCUUUUGUCGGGGAGCAAAGAGAGUCACGUGUGGCUCAUUGAGAGUACCCGAAGAAAAAGCAUCGGCUAACUCCGUGCCAGCAGCCGCGGUAAUACGGAGGAUGCGAGCGUUAUCCGGAUUUAUUGGGUUUAAAGGGUGCGUAGGCGGCCUUUUAAGUCAGCGGUGAAAGUCUGUGGCUCAACCAUAGAAUUGCCGUUGAAACUGGGAGGCUUGAGUAUGUUUGAGGCAGGCGGAAUUCGUGGUGUAGCGGUGAAAUGCUUAGAUAUCACGAAGAACCCCGAUUGCGAAGGCAGCUUACUAAACUGUGACUGACAUUGAUGCUCGAAAGUGUGGGUAUCAAACAGGAUUAGAUACCCUAGUAGUC